GAUGAACGCUGGCGGCGUGCCUAAUACAUGCAAGUCGAGCGAACAGAUGAGGAGCUUGCUCCUCUGACGUUAGCGGCGGACGGGUGAGUAACACGUGGAUAACCUACCUAUAAGACUGGGAUAACUUCGGGAAACCGGAGCUAAUACCGGAGAAUAUAUUGAACCGCAUGGUUCAAUAGUGAAAGACGGUUUUGCUGUCACUUAUAGAUGGAUCCGCGCCGCAUGAGCUAGUUGGUAAGGUAACGGCUUACCAAGGCAACGAUGCGUAGCCGACCUGAGAGGGUGUUCGGCCACACUUGCACUGUGACACGGUCCAGACUCCUACGGGAGGCAGCAGUAGUGAAUCUUCCGCCAUGGGCGAAAGCCUUACGGCGCACCGCCGCGUGAGUGAUGAAGGUCUUCGGAUCGUAAAUCUCUGUUAUUAGGGAAGAACACAUGUGUAAGUUACUAUGCACGUCUUGACGGUACCUGAUCAGAAAGCCACGGCUAACUACGUG
rnacentral:rRNA from 1 species